CCUACGGGCGGCAGCAGUAGGGAAUCUUUCACAAUGGGCGAAAGCCUGAUGGAGCAACGCCGCGUGCAGGAUGAAGGCCUUCGGGUUGUAAACUGCUUUUAUAAGCGAGAAAUAUGAUGGUAACUUAUGAAUAAGGAUCGGCUAACUACGUGCCAGCAGCCGCGGUCAUACGUAGGAUCCGAGCAUUAUCCGGAGUGACUGGGUGUAAAGAGUUGCGUAGGUGGGAUAAUAAGUAGCUAGUGAAAUCUGGUGGCGCAAACAUUCAGACUAUUAGCUAAACUGUUAAGCUCGAGACCGUUAGGGGUAACUGGAAUUUCUGGUGUAGGAGUGAAAUCCGUAGAUAUUAGAAAGAACACCGAUAGCGUAGGCAGGUUGCUGGGACGGGUCUGACACUAAGGCACGAAAGCGUAGGGAGCAAACGGGAUUAGAUACCCGUGUAGUC
rnacentral:rRNA from 1 species